rnacentral:rRNA from 1 species
CCUACGGGAGGCAGCAGUGGGGGAUAUUGCACAAUGGGGGGAACCCUGAUGCAGCGACGCCGCGUGGGUGAAGAAGCGCCUCGGCGCGUAAAGCCCUGUCAGCAGGGAAGAAAAUGACGGUACCUGAAGAAGAAGCCCCGGCUAACUACGGGCCAGCAGCCGCGGGAAUACGUAGGGGGCAAGCGUUAUCCGGAUUUACUGGGUGUAAAGGGGGCGCAGACGGCGAUGCAAGCCAGGAGUGAAAGCCCGGGGCCCAACCCCGGGACUGCUCUUGAAACUGCGUGGCUAGAGUGGAGGAGGGGCAGGCGGAAUUCCUGGUGUAGCGGUGAAAUGCGUAGAUAUCAGGAGGAACACCGGUGGCGAAGGCGGCCUGCUGGACUGCAACUGACGUUGGGGCACGAAAGCGUGGGGAGCAAACAGGAUUAGAUACCCUUGUAGUC